CCAGCCUGGCAACAGAGUGAGACUUCAUCUAAAAAAAAAAAAACUGUACAUAUUUAAGGUGUACAAUGUGAAGUUUUGAUCUACGUAUAUAUCGCGAAGUGAUUACCACAAUCAAGCUAGUCACAUAUCUAUCAUGUUUGUUUGUGUGUGGUAUGAAUGCUUAAGAUCUAUUUUCUUAGCAAAAUUUCAAGUAUACAUUUUUUCCCCUUUUUUUGAGAUAGGAUCUCCCUACCUUGGCCAGGCUGGUUUCAAACUCCUGGGCUCAAACAAUCCUCUACCUCAGCCUCCUGAGUCGUGGGGAUUACAGAGGCCACCGUACUCCACAACACAUUAUUAUUCACUGUAGUCACCAUGCUGUAAAGUAGGUCUCCAGACCUUGUUCACCUUAUAACUGAAAUUUUGUACCCUUUAACCAACAUCCCCUAGUCCAUGGUAACCCCUCUACUACUACUGUGUGUUAUGGUGAGCUCGACCUGUUUAGAUUCCACAUGAGUGAGAUAUGCAGUGUUUGUCCUUCUGGGUCUGGCGUAUUUCACUUAUGAUAAUGUUCUCCAGGUUCACCAACGUUGUAGAUCUGUGGGCAUUUUUAGAAGUGAGGGUCUGCCUGUAAAGAUUUCCUGGAAGCUUCUGCCCUCUAGUGCCCAGCCUGAGAGGUAGUGUGGCACCAUCCCUACUUAUCCUUGCUUCCUUCCUCAAUUUACUCAUCGCGAUUCAGCGUGAGAAUAUGAUAAAGUCAGCAGGAUGGAGCUGAGUAGUGCAAAUACAUAGCAAAUCCUAUAAAGAUUGAUGGAAGAGAAAUUGGGAGAAUCUAGUUAAAUAGACCCAAAAGCAUGCAUACACCAGUAUUUUUUCUUUACCAUUCUCUUGCGCCCUCUGCUUGUAAGUCACCCUCCAGGAGAAUUGUGCAGCCAGUCCUCACAGUCCCCCAUCACUGUUCAUGUCCUUAAUCUCCCUGCUUGCUUCUGCCCUUCUUUCCAGGCGGAGAAUGUGGGUUACCUGGUGGGAGCACAGCAGAUCUGAUUGAAGGUCUCUACGGACUCCAGUAGAAAGCAUACCUUCGAAUAGGCUUGAGCCACCGCGCCCGGCCAAAAGUCGAUAGACUUUCUAUCCGGCAGUCCUUCAUUUCAAAGAUAACCAUUACUAUCUCUGGAAAAAAAUAUUUACGUAUGUGUAUACUUAUCUUUUAAAAUUUGUAGAACAUGGAUUUUUUUCCCAUA